rnacentral:lncRNA from 1 species
UGGGGAGCGGCUGUGGAUGGGUGCGAUGGGGGCAUCUCCAGGGAAUCUGGGGGCAGCAGGAGCGCGUCCCCCCCCUCCCAGCCGUGGCCCCGCACCCCCAGCCCGCAGCGGGGUCACGGCCGCGCCGGCGGCUCCCUCCGGGAAAUGCCGCGUCAGCGCCCGCCGCCCGCCGUGAUCCAACGCGAUGUGACAGCGGGGCCGCCGCCAGCGCCCCGCAGCUGCCCCGUGCCGGGCAGGGCCCCGCACCCACCGGGGAGGAACCCCCAGCAUCGGCCCCGCAGCUCCGCUCGCCGCCCCGCACCUCGGGGGGGGCCGGGAGCACCGGCUGCCAGCACGAGGAGCUGGGGGCACCCCCAAUCCCGCUCCUGUGCGCCCCAUGGGCAGCCGGGCGGGGGGGGGCAGCCCCCCAAAUGUGCCAGCGGCUUCUGGCCACGGGCCCGGCGCCGCCGUCCUGGUGCCGGUGCCAGCGCCGGUGCCGGUGCCAGUGCUGGGGUCUGGCGGGGCUCCCCGUGCCCGGCGGAACAAAGCCGCGGCUGUUCGCGGAGGGCACCGCGGCCAGAGGCUCAUAAUGAGGCCGGUGCCGGCGGGGGUCCCGGCGCUGGGACGCUUCUCACGGUAAAUCAGCCUCGCCGCAGCCCGGGCUCCGCCGGGGGGACACGAGCUGGGAUCCCCCCGCUGGGGCCUGCGGCAUCGCCACAGCUGCUGAUCCUGCCGGUGUCCAUCCCGAACCUCACCGGGAACACCCCCGGACGCCCGAGGUCCAUCCCAUCCCCACCCCGAGGCUCCCGGGGUCCUUCGCGACCCCCGCCGGUGUCCAUCCCACCCCGAGGCCAUCACGACCCCCGCCGGUGUCCAUCCCACCCCGAGGAUCCCGGUGUCCAUCCCAUCCCACCCCGAGGCUCCCGGGCUCCAUCACGACUUUCCCGGCGCGCAUCCCAUCUCUCGCCGGGUACAUGCGGACCCCCGCCGGGCUCCGUUCCAGGCCGGGCCCGGCCCGGUGGCUCGCUGCGGUGGCCCCGCGGUGGCUCUGUGCCCGCUGCGGUGACACAGGGACCGCUGGCCGCCAGCAGCCCCGUGACCGGGCCCGUUCCUCACGGCCCAGCGCACCGGCUCUGCAGCACGGCUCUACCGGUACCGCGGCACCGCCAGCGCGGUUCCUGCCGGGUUCCCGGUGACACCGACUCGCUCUGUGCGGUGCCGGCGAUGCCGAGGCGUCCCCGGUGACCCCCGCCCUCCUGCCCGCGCUGCGACAGCGGCACAGGAGGGAUGCGGUGCGGCUGGAGCUCCCCGGGACGCGCCCCCCCCUCCCCGGGACGCGGAACCUCCCCGGGACGCUGCCGGUCCCCGCGGGCCCGGUCCCGGGACCCCUCCCGGUGCCCCCUCCCCCGGUACCUUUGAGGGACGCGAUCUCGUGGUGGAUGCCCCGCGCCCCCUCCAUGGCCGCCNC